UUCUCCCUUCCCUUGUUCCCCCUUCACACACUUCUUAGGAGGGUCAUCUGCUACUUCCCCAGUGUGGCACCACUUACAAAAAGGCCUGGAAGCUUAAUGUGCACCUGUAAUCACAUGGGGAAGAAACCAUUUGUUUAUGACUGUGAAGGGUGUGGCAAGACCCACCUCAAGAGACUAACAUCUGAGUUGUCAUGUCCUGAUCAUACUGCAGACAAGCCAUAUGUUUGUGCAGCUAGUAGCUGUGAUCUAAAAAUUCAACACAAAAUCAAACUUGAAGAGACAUUUUACAGGCAAACAUGAAAACCAGCAAAAAAAAAAAUAUACAUAUGCAAUUUUGGAGGUUGGAAGAAGACCUUUACGAACAUCAGCAGCUGAAAAACCAUCACUGCCAGCAUACCAAUGAACCACUAUUCAACUGUACCCAGGAAAGAUGUGGGAAGCAUUUUUCCCCAUCCAUCCAGCAAGCGGCAAGGCCCAUGCGGGCUCUAUAUGUCAAAAAGCGUGUUCUUUUGUGGUGAAAGCAUGAACAGAAGUUUUGAAACAUGUGAGAGAAACUUAUAAAAAGGAAACAACAUAUGAAGCAGGCCAGAAAACAUUUAAACAUUAUCUUAAGCAACAUAUGAACACUCAUGCCCCAGAAAGGGAUAUUUUUGACAUACAAGAGAAGUCUCUGGAAGAACCUACACAACUGUGUUUACUCUACAAAUCCAUAUCCUUUCCAUGAGAAAAAAGGUGCCAUUUUGCAUGUGAACAUGUUGGCUGUGGCAAAACAUUUGCAAUGAAACAAAGUCUUUCUAGGCAUGCUGUUGUACAUAUUCUGACAAGAAGAAAAUGAAGCUCAGAGAAAUUUCAUUAAAAACCUAGCUUGACCUCUCAUCUCAGUGGAUAUAUCCCUCCUAAAAUAAGAGCAAGACUUAUUUUUGUCUCCAAGUGGAAGGCCUCCGAACCGUAUGGAAGACAGGGUGGGCUCCACAGUCUGGAUACUA
rnacentral:lncRNA from 1 species